AUUUGCUUUAACAGAUAAUAACCAGGAAGACUACUCCUUUGAUGAGGGUUCUGAGACACAGACUACUACAAUUCUUAAAGCUAUAGAAAAUUCAUUCGAGGAUACUGAAAUUGAUAUCGAUCAAGAUGGGGAGGACUUUGAAACUCCAGUAUAAGCACAAGUUUCCCCACAAGAACUUGAACUUGUUUCUAAGAAGAGAAAAGUAGCAGAUAGAGAAAACAUUGAAGAAAGAAAGAAAGCGUGGUCAAAGAAGGAACAGAAAGCUGUAAAG